rnacentral:lncRNA from 1 species
AUUUAAUCGGGAAAUGAUGCAAGGAUCAAAUAAAAUCAAGAUGAAAGGCCCCUAAUACAUGGCAUAUGAGAUGAACAAGGGAGGAUCAAAAGAUCUCUUCAAUUGCCUUAAGCAAUCCCUAAGUCAAACAUCAUUCAUAGAAAAGUCAACUUGAAAAAUAUGGAAUAAAUAGUAAAUUAAUCAAGAAAAUUAUGAAAAAUUAAACUAAGUUAGGUGGGGUCAGGACAUCAUCAUCC